CAAACUGUAGUUAUGCUGUAGUAGUGAUUGAAUUAUAAGAUUAUGUUUUACAGUGUUAUGAGUAUGUGUCCAUUACAUCUAAACACUGUAAGAUGUAAUGGACACAUCCUCUUCAUUCAUCGGAAUAGUAGUGUCUUGAACAUAUCAAUUAGUGUUCAUUGUCUGUGUGCGAGGACACACUUAAAGGGAAAGUCUGUGCCUGUGUCUGUGUUGCAUUAGCGAUGCCUAUUUUACGGCAGCUGUUAAACCCAUCAGUGCACCUGGCCAUGGGGGAAUCCUUUUAUUGCGGACACAUGACUGAGCAUCCCCUGAAGUCCCUCUCCCCUUCGGAGGUGCAGCUGUCAGGUUAACGGGUUCCAGGGAAAGACAUAAACACGUGAAGCCCCAGAGCCAAGAUGGACACCUGCCUACUGCCAUGGUCCCUAUACAGAGUCACGGAAACAGAGCAAAUAUGGUCCCUGGACCCAGCAGCUCUGGCAGCCCCGGCCUACUGGUAUUACUCAAAACGAUGGCACGUAAUGUGUCUAAAAUACAGCAAGUAGAGAACGGGCAGUGAAGUGACAGACAGGAAUCUCUUGGAUGGAUCCAUACCUGCACUUGCGUUUCAUGUUUCAGUCAUUUAGCAAACAUUUUUAUCCAGAGAGACUUGCUCAAGGGCUCAACAUGCUUGCAUUGUAUUUUGGAUUUGACUGAUGCAAAUAUUCUUGUCACUGGCAGUAUUCUAACACAUUGUUUGGUUUGCAUUGCUUAAAUAAUAUAUUGAUGGUAACAGAGAAUGUCAGACAGAUCCAAUGAGACAUUAAACACAGUGAGAGACUGCAUUUCUUUAAAAGAUCUGCCCUAAUUACAUUUUCAUCUGAAAUAUGUGAGAAGAUAGAAUGUGGAUUCUAUUGGAGUAAUGCUGGGACAGAGGCAGUACUAGUUUCAAGGUUUAUUUCUCAAAUGCACCAAACAACACAGCGCCAUCCUGCACAAUGAAAUUCUUGUGACAUGGCACCUGACAACUAUGUAGCAAGAAUUAACAAGAAAAUUAAAUAAGCUAAAAUAUAGCCAAACAAAAAAUAAAGCAAUAAUAUACUGUGCACUUGCAGUACUGUAAACUGGCAGCAGUCUGGGUAGUAGUAUUAAACAUUAUAGAUAUGGCAAGUAUAGCAAUACUAUACAUAACGAUGUAAUUUGGUAGAAUUAUUGAAUAUUAUAGCAUAUUAUAGAUACAUAUGAGUGUAAUAAGCUUAUGAGUUGUGGCAUAGCACAAUUCAGCAAAUUCACUUUUCAGCAAAUUUAACUUGUUUAGCUUCUAAUGUUUUUAUUGCCCCUAUAGCCCUUCUGGGACAUUUGAUGCACAAGGCCUUCUGGCACAGAGCUGAUUGUGAGCUACCUACCACGAUUCCAGCAUAUUGCAGCCUUACCAUUGUAAAGCAGUCUGGGUUGAGUAGCCGAUGCUAAUGCGAACAAUUAUUCUACACUUAUUACAGUGUAUUAUAUUUAACAGUUAUAUUGUUCGGUCUACUUGUGCGUUCAAUAAAACCUUAUUUGAAACAGACA
ensembl:lncRNA